GCAAUCUGCCUUUCACAGGGGGAUAGCCCAGAGAAAUUUGGAUUAAUACCUCAUAGUAUAAUCAAACCGCAUGGUUUGAUUAUUAAAGUCACAACGGUGAAAGAUGAGCAUGCGUCCCAUUAGCUAGUUGGUAAGGUAACGGCUUACCAAGGCUACGAUGGCUAGGGGUUCUGAGAGGAUGAUCCCCCACACUGGUACUGAGAUACGGACCAGACUCCUACGGGAGGCAGCAGUAGGGAAUAUUGGGCAAUGGACGCAAGUCUGACCCAGCCAUGCCGCGUGCAGGAUGAAGGCCUUCUGGGUUGUAAACUGCUUUUAUCUGGGAAGAAAACACCUAUGCGUAGGAAACUGACGGUACCAGAUGAAUAAGCACCGGCUAACUCCGUGCCAGCAGCCGCGGUAAUACGGAGGGUGCAAGCGUUGUCCGGAUUUAUUGGGUUUAAAGGGUGCGUAGGCGGCCCUGUAAGUCAGUGGUGAAAGCCUCCAGCUCAACUGGAGAACUGCCAUUGAUACUGCAGGGCUUGAGUACAGACGAGGUUGGCGGAAUUGAUGGUGUAGCGGUGAAAUGCAUAGAUACCAUCAAGAACUCCGAUUACGUAGGCAGCUAACUAGGCUGUAACUGACGCUGAGGCACGAAAGCGUGGGGAGCGAACAGGAUUAGAUACCCUGGUAGUCCACGCCGUAAACGAUGAUUACUCGAUGUCGGCGAUAAACUGUCGGCGUCUUAGCGAAAGCGUUAAGUAAUCCACCUGGGGAGUACGCCCGCAAGGGUGAAACUCAAAGGAAUUGACGGGGGCCCGCACAAGCGGUGGAGCAUGUGGUUUAAUUCGAUG
rnacentral:rRNA from 1 species